UACGUAGGGUGCAAGCGUUAAUCGGAAUUACUGGGCGUAAAGCGUGCGCAGGCGGUUUUGUAAGUCUGUCGUGAAAGCCCCGGGCUCAACCUGGGAAUUGCGAUGGAGACUGCAAGGCUUGAAUCUGGCAGAGGGGGGUAGAAUUCCACGUGUAGCAGUGAAAUGCGUAGAGAUGUGGAGGAACACCGAUGGCGAAGACAGCCCCCUGGGUCAAGAUUGACGCUCAUGCACGAAAGCGUGGGGAGCAAACAGG
rnacentral:rRNA from 1 species